UACGGAGGGUGCAAGCGUUAUCCGGAUUCACUGGGUUUAAAGGGUGCGUAGGUGGGUUGGUAAGUCAGUGGUGAAAUCCCCGAGCUUAACUUGGGAACUGCCAUUGAUACUAUCAGUCUUGAAUACCGUGGAGGUCGGCGGAAUAUGUCAUGUAGCGGUGAAAUGCUUAGAUAUGACAUAGAACACCAAUUGCGUAGGCAGCUUACUACACGAUCAUUGACGCUGAGGCACGAAAGCGUGGGGAUCAAACAGG
rnacentral:rRNA from 1 species